AUGAAAUGCAAGGACGCUCUUUUUAGAGGUCCGACCAACUCAUUUUCCUUCACCCUGUGCACAAACUGUUUUUACACAUUUUACACACAAAAGUCUAAGAAUGACAUCGUCUCUUAAUUGAGCAUAAACAAAUA
rnacentral:misc_RNA from 1 species